rnacentral:rRNA from 1 species
AAGAACGACUCUCGGCAACGGAUAUCUCGGCUCUUGCAUCGAUGAAGAACGUAGCGAAAUGCGAUACUUGGUGUGGAUUGCAGAAUCCCGUGAACCAUCGAGUCUUUGAACGCAAGUUGCGCCCGAAGCCAUUAGGCCGAGGGCACGCCUGCCUGGGUGUCACAC